GAAGGGGGCUAGCGUUGCUCGGAAUCACUGGGCGUAAAGGGCGCGUAGGCGGCUGAUUUAGUCGAGGGUGAAAGCCCGUGGCUCAACCACGGAAUGGCCUUCGAUACUGAUUGGCUUGAGACCGGAAGAGGACAGCGGAACUGCGAGUGUAGAGGUGAAAUUCGUAGAUAUUCGCAAGAACACCAGUGGCGAAGGCGGCUGUCUGGUCCGGUUCUGACGCUGAGGCGCGAAAGCGUGGGGGAGCAAACAGGAUUAGAUACCCUGGUAGUCCACGCUGUAAACGAUGAAUGCUAGCCGUUGGGGGUGCAUGCACCUCAGUGGCGCCGCUAACGCUUUAAGCAUUCCGCCUGGGGAGUACGGUCGCAAGAUUA
rnacentral:rRNA from 1 species